GCCUAGUUAGCUUGGUUGGUAGCGCGUCUGCCUUGUAAGCGCUAGGCCGCGGGUUCGAUUCCCGCCUGGGGCG
rfam:Asian citrus Psyllid, Diaphorina citri - Florida Strain, whole genome shotgun sequence.